rnacentral:rRNA from 1 species
UACAGAGGGUGCAAGCGUUGUUCGGAAUCAUUGGGCGUAAAGCGCACGUAGGCGGCCUGCUAAGUCGGAUGUGAAAGCCCAGGGCUCAACCCUGGAAGUGCAUUCGAAACUGGCGGGCUUGAAUGUCGGAGAGGGCAGUGGAAUUCCGAGUGUAGAGGUGAAAUGCGCAGAUAUCAGGAGGAACACCAAUGGCGAAGGCAGCUCGCUGGGACGUGACUGACGCUGAGACGCGAAAGCGUGGGGAGCAAACAGG